UGGGGAAUAUUGCACAAUGGAGGGAACUCUGAUGCAGCGACGCCGCGUGAGUGAUGAAGGAUUUCGUUUCGUAAAACUCUGUUCUAUGGGAAGAAAAGGACUGUACCAUAGGUGAAAGCUCCGGCUAAAUACGUGCCAGCAGCCGCGGUAAUACGUAUGGAGCGAGCGGUGUCCGGAAUUAUUGGGCGUAAAGGGUGCGCAGGCGGCUUUACAAGUUGGAUGUGAAAUAUUGUGGCUCAACCACAAACGUGCAUCCAAAACUGCAAAUCUAGAGUUAAGGAGAGGUAAGUGGAAUUCCUGGUGUAGCGAGGGAAUGCGUAGAUAUCGGGAGGAAUACCGGUGGCGAAAGCGACUUACUGGGCUUAAACUGACGAUCAGGCACGAAAGCGUGGGGAGCAAACAGG
rnacentral:rRNA from 1 species